GAAAUAUAUAAAUUUAUCAUGAAGUAUAACCAUAAUGCAUAUCAGUUGAAGUCAAUACAAGCAAUAUAUAGAGGACCAGUUUCGAAAUUUAUUUCCCUUCUUUACAAAAUCUGAAGCUAAAGUCCAAAUAAAAUACAUAUGAGACAAAGUUGUAUAGGCAUAUUGGUUUUAUCACGAUAAAACAUUGAAAUCCUGAGCCCCUCGUGCGACCUUGAUAAACACGUCUUCUAGGGUUGUAUCAGCCAAACCCCACGCAUGAACUGUGAAUCGACUCUUUGCAUUCUCAACAGCUUUGAACACUUCAGAAAUUAUUAUCUCCUGCUUCGGCAACUCAAACUUUUGUGUCCCGGAGAUUUGGUAUAUCUUGUUGGCACUUGGAGAGAGAUGCCGUACCAAAUUUUCUACUUCUUCCUCCUGAUUUGAGGAUGUAGUCAUUGUAAACACGUAUGAUCCUCCAUAUCUAGCUUUUAACUGAAAAUCAAAAAAUAGCAUAAACGUAAAUGCUCAAGUUGGAGCAAAUAUCAGUCUCAAACCUUCCAUAGCAUACUAGUUCAGAAAAUGCAUAUAAACACAUAGCAUUGCUGAUGUGUUGGCUAAAACUAUAAAAAUGACCUCUUUGGGGUUUCCAACACACUGCAAGCUGCCAUCAACGAAAAUACCCAGACGAUCACAUAAAUGCUCUGCCUCUUCCAUUGAAUGUGCUGAAAUAUUACGAAAACGUGUAUCAGUUUG
rnacentral:lncRNA from 1 species